rnacentral:rRNA from 1 species
GGAGGAAAGUAGGGGAUCGAAAGACCUUAUGCUUUUGGAGCGGCCGAUGUCUGAUUAGCUAGUUGGUAAGGUAAAGGCUUACCAAGGCAACGAUCAGUAGUUGGUCUGAGAGGACGACCAGCCACACUGGGACUGAGACACGGCCCAGACUCCUACGGGAGGCAGCAGUGGGGAAUUUUGGACAAUGGGCGCAAGCCUGAUCCAGCAAUGCCGCGUGAGUGAAGAAGGCCUUCGGGUUGUAAAGCUCUUUCAGUCGAGAAGAAAAGAUCGUAACUAAUAAUCAUGAUUCAUGACGGUAUCGACAGAAGAAGCACCGGCUAACUACGUGCCAGCAGCCGCGGUAAUACGUAGGGUGCAAGCGUUAAUCGGAAUUACUGGGCGUAAAGGGUGCGCAGGCGGUUCUGCAAGUCAGAUGUGAAAUCCCCGGGCUUAACCUGGGAACUGCGUUUGAAACUACAAAGCUAGAAGGGCUUAUUUCGUUAAACC